GGAGGUUCUCAGUCAUUCAGAGAAACAAACUUCAGAGAGAAGACGCUCAAAGUUCACUCAUAAGUUCAGUCCAAAGACGCCAAUGGGGCCACCGGAGGAGUUUUGUGAUCUUUUAUCAAAAUCGCCCUGACCCUCCCUUCACCAGCAAUUAAUUUUGGACGACCCUCCAAAAUGAUAUGGAAUAAAGGGAUGACCCUCCCCAACAAUUUA